CUCAGCGCCAUCCUCCCCAACGCCAUUCCCCCCUCAGUCCAGCCCGGCCCGGGCACCUUAGAACUUUCGCCCGCUGGCCUAGCUUCCACUUGUCCCGGCAGACGCGCGUGGGGUCCGCGUCCGGAGCUGCCUGCUCCACAGCCCUGCUCCGGCGAUGCCCUGUUUCCUGUUCAACAAUAUAACCGGCGGAGAGCGCUCGGCAGAACUUCCUCCCAAGCCGGGACUGGGCUGUGCUUGCAAGAGACAAUCCCCGGUGUCCUGGCUUCCUGUCCCCUCUGGGCCGGGCCAGCGCUCUAGGAGCAGAGACGCCACCCUCCCCCCUCUUCCCCGGGAUCCUGGGCCACACCUGGCUGUCUCCGGGGAGGAGGCGGUGGCAGGGCCUGGAUGGAGAUCUGCGGGGGAGGCAGUUUCUCUCAGCUUCUGACCAGAUUAGACUCCCACUGACCCUCAUCCUUGUCGGAGGAAGUCACCGGCCACUCUGCAGGCGGCCGAAGUGCAGUUGCGGGAUCCUCCCAUUUUGGAAACUACCUGCCUCUUGGGAAAGCAGCCUUAGCACUCUGAGGUGUGCCUGUGAACACUUCUGACAAAGGAGGCACUUUCUGGGGAUGAGAACUCCAGUUUGCCCAUCCCCCUCUAGACAGGGGAAAGGGGAAACUGCCCUCAGAGGCACUGUGCUGAAGGUGGAAAGACAACCAAAGACAGCAGCAGCAGCAGCGCAAGUGCCAGGCGCCUCCCCGGGGCCUGCCACCCCCAACCUCCAAAUCCAGUUCCUCUCCCUUUGCUCUGAGCCCUGAGAACCUGCCUCAAAGAUGGCCAAGGAGCACCCACCCACUGGCUGAGGGCGCUCAAGGCCAGGAAACGAAGCCCUGGAUGUUGUCUUUUUCUGUCCCAUUUUUCUGCAACCUGGUUUCCCUAGGAAUUAA
ensembl:antisense Arhgap27os1 Rho GTPase activating protein 27, opposite strand 1